AACGAACGCUGGCGGCAGGCCUAACACAUGCAAGUCGAGCGAGGACUUCGGUUCUAGCGGCGGACGGGUGAGUAACGCGUGGGAAUGUGCCCUUCUCUACGGAAUAGCCCUGGGAAACUGGGAGUAAUACCGUAUACGCCCUAUUGGGGAAAGAUUUAUCGGAGAAGGAUCAGCCCGCGUUGGAUUAGGUAGUUGGUGGGGUAAUGGCCUACCAAGCCGACGAUCCAUAGCUGGUUUGAGAGGAUGAUCAGCCACACUGGGACUGAGACACGGCCCAGACUCCUACGGGAGGCAGCAGAGGGGAAUCUUAGACAAUGGGGGCAACCCUGAUCUAGCCAUGCCGCGUGAGUGAUGAAGGCCUUAGGGUUGUAAAGCUCUUUCAGCUGGGAAGAUAAUGACGGUACCAGCAGAAGAAGCCCCGGCUAACUCCGUG
rnacentral:rRNA from 1 species